rnacentral:sRNA from 1 species
AAAUAUCCAAGGAAGCAGCAGUGGCGGAGCAAAGGCAGCCACUUCUAGCCUGGCAACUAAAAGCUGAAAACUCACAUGACUGAAUUUCAGGGAACAGUUUUCCCAUAGUUGAGAGUGGGGUGCCUAACUGAAUCAUCAAUGUCAGCUAUGAACAGUAUCCUCUGGCACAUGCAGGCCUGAUGUUUCAGAAUCUCCUGAAUUACGUCAGAAGUCACCAUUGUUUCAGUUUGCCGAGAUAUCUUCAAGUACGUCCCACCCUGAUGCUUCUACAAAGCAGUGUCAAACAUCCGCCUUGUUUCAGUUUGCAGAGAUUUCUUCAAACACUUCGCAGUUGGGUGGUGCUGAGCCUGUAAAACGCUGUGGAAAGUCUGCACUCUUUCAACUGGCAGAGAUGUGCCUGGCAUCAGAAGGGAUGAAAAUGGAAGAAUCAAAGCUAAUAAAAGCAAAAGAAUCCGAUGGUGGAAGAAUUAAAGAAUUAGAGAAGGGAAAGGAAGAAAAAGAAAUUAAAAUGGAGAAAACAGAUGAAACUAGGUUACAGAAGGAAGCAGA